rnacentral:tRNA from 1 species
GCUCCCGUGGCGGAACGGAAUACGCACUAGACCGAGGAUCUAGUUUUUGCAGGUUCAAAUCCUGCCGGGAGUACCA